AUGACGACGGUCGCCUCCCGAGUCGCUUCCAUCUGCGAAUUGAUCGACACCUUAGCCGCUGGUACAACUCUGAGCGCCAGGCGAGUUGCCGCCAUCUCCGCCAUGAUCGACGAGGUCGCCCAGGGAAGGAGGAGGAGGACCACGAGGAAGCGGCGCAUGGGCAACUCUCGCUGCUACGAGCAGGUGUGCACGCUCGGCGGGGGCACGUUCGGCGUCGUUGUCAAGGCGCGCCACCGCGCCACCGGCCAGACCGUCGCUGUGAAGACUCUCCGCAGCUUGCCCACCCAAGAAUCGGUCGGCGAGCUCCUUCGGGAGGCCUGCUUCAUGGCGGCCUGCAGCGGCCACCCCUCCCUCGUUGCUCUGCGUGGCGUCGUGCGCACACCCGGCACCAAGGGACGCAGGGACUACUUCCUCGUGAUGGAAUACGUCGGGCGCAACCUGUACCAGGUCCUCCGUGAGCGCAUCGAACGCGGUGACCGGCCGUUCCCAGAGGCUGACGUGCGCUGCAUCGUGCGGCAGCUGCUAGCCGGCGCGGAGACGAUGCACAGGAACGGCGUCGUGCACCGCGACAUCAAGCCGGAAAACAUCCUUGUCGCCCAGCACGGCGGCGGCGGCGGCAACAUCGUCAAGAUCGGCGACUACGGGCUGGCGCUCUCCACGACCGAGCAGGAAGACGGCACGGCCGGAACGAGGCACUACAUGGCGCCGGAAGUGCUGCUCGAGAAGCCGGACCGCGACACGCUCGUCGACCUCUGGUCCAUCGGCUGCGUGAUGGCGGAGCUCCUCACCGGAAAGACGUUGUUCAAGGGGGCCGACAAAGCCGACCAGCUCCACAAGAUCUUCGACGUGCUCGGCGUGCCAGGCGAGAGGGCGUCGGGGCCCGCCUUCAACUCGCCGGUCCUCGGAGAGGAGGUGCAGCUAUGGCGAGCGCGGCAACGGUCCGCUGCUGGGCCCAAGAACCGGCUGCGCAAGCUGUUCCCCAAGGCGCUGCUAUCCAAGGAAGGGUUCGAGGUCCUCCGGGGCCUCCUCACGUGCAAUCCCCUCAGGCGGCUGGAUGCCGCCGCCGCGCUCCGACUCCCGUGGUUCGUUGACACCGGUGUAAUGCCGGUCACCGCUGUCCCGACCCCGAGGCCCGGCGGCUGA
rnacentral:rRNA from 1 species